AUGAACGCUGGCGGCGUGCUUAACACAUGCAAGUCGAACGAUUAAAGCUCACUUCGGUGAGUGUAUAGAGUGGCGAACGGGUGAGUAACACGUGGGAAACCUGCCCCUUUCUUCGGGAUAACUUCGGGAAACCGUUGCUAAUACCGGAUACUCCGGGAUGGUCGCAUGGCCGACCCGGGAAAGCUUUAUGUGGAAAGGGAUGGUCCCGCGGCCCAUUAGCUUGUUGAUGGGGUAAUGGCCUACCAAGGCAAUGAUGGGUAGCCG
rnacentral:rRNA from 1 species